rnacentral:lncRNA from 1 species
AAAAAUUUUAGGUUAAAUUAUACAAUUGGUUUUAUUUCUUUUGUUUUGAGCAAUUUAAUUUUUUUUCUUUUAUGUUCUUUUAACUUUUUUUUCAUUCUUUUCUGCUUCUCCCUCUAUUUUUUCAGGUUGCAAAUGCUUGAGCAGCAGCAACCGUAUUUCUAAUAUUUCUUCUCUUGAAGCUUUUUUUCCAUAUAAUUCUUCAAUUGGAUGCAUGCAUGCAGAUA